rnacentral:rRNA from 1 species
UUUUCUUAGUAGCGGCGAGCGAAAAGAAAAUAGUUCAGCACUAAGUCACUUUGUCUUUAUGGCAAAUGUGAGAUGCAGUGUAUGGUACGUCUUCAAUCUAGUAUGAGAAAUUAACGAUUUAAGUCAUUCUUAAAUGAGGCCAAUUACCCAUAGAGGGUGCCAGGCCCGUAUAACGUUAAUGAUUACUAGAAGGCGUUACCGAAGAGUCGUGUUGCUUGAUAGUGCAGCACUAAGUUGGUGGUAAACUCCAUCUAAAACUAAAUAUAACCAUGAGACCGAUAGUAAACAAGUACCGUGAGGGAAAGUUGAAAAGAACUCUGAAUAGAGAGUUAAAUAGUACGUGAAACUGCUUAGAGGUUAAGCCCGAUGAACCUGAAUAUCCGUUAUGGAAAAUUCAUCAUUAGAAUUGUAAUAUCUUUAAAAAAAUAUUAUAAUGAUAGUGUGCAUUUUUUCCAUAUAAGGACAUUGUAAUCUAUUAACAUAAUUGAGUAUUUAUCAAAAAAUCAUAAACUUUAUGUUUAUUCAAAUUAUUAUGCUUGCAUUUUAACAUAGAAUAAAUGUUUAUGAUUUUGAUAAAGUGUUGAUAGAUUUAUCAUAUAUACAGUGCUUUAAUUUUUCUUUUGAAAAAUUAUAUAAUGGCAUAAUAAUCAAUGAUUUUUAUGUUUAUUAUAUGCACUUGUAUGAUUAACAAUGCGAAAGAUUCAGGAUACCUUCGGGACCCGUCUUGAAACACGGACCAAGGAGUCUAACAUAUAUGCAAGUCAUUGGGAUUUUUAUUGUAAACCUAAUGGCGUAAUUAACUUGACUUGAAUCUAAUAAUGGGAUUAGUUUUUAAACUAUUUAUAGUUUAUUAACACAAUCCCGGGGCGUUCUAUAUAGUUAUGUAUAAUAGUAUUUUAUAUUAUUU